AUUCUAGGAGCCCAUUUCAGCUAACAGAUCCUCUUGCCACAGGCUGUGACCCAAACACAGAGUGAGAAAUCUGGCUGUUGCCUUGUGGGGCAACUGCUAGCUUGGAGCUUACUUAAGGAGCAUUAAUGUCCGAUGAAACCAUUUUUCCCCCCUACAAGUGGCCAAGCGGAGAAACUUUGCCAGAAGUGAGCUUUCCAUAAAAGAAGCGUCCCCCUGAGGCUGAGGCCACAGGGGAUUAAACACUGCGUUCAGGACCUGGAUGCAUU
rnacentral:lncRNA from 1 species